rnacentral:rRNA from 1 species
GAUGAACGCUGGCGGCGUGCCUAAUACAUGCAAGUCGAGCGAACAGACGAGGAGCUUGCUCCUCUGACGUUAGCGGUGGACGGGUGAGUAACACGUGGAUAACCUACCUAUAAGACUGGGAUAACUUCGGGAAACCGGAGCUAAUACCGGAUAAUAUAUUGAACCGCAUGGUUCAAUAGUGAAAGACGGUUUUGCUGUCACUUAUAGAUGGAUCCGCGCCGCAUUAGCUAGUUGGUAAGGUAACGGCUUACCAAGGCAACGAUGCGUAGCCGACCUGAGAGGGUGAUCGGCCACACUGGAACUGAGACACGGUCCAGACUCCUACGGGAGGCAGCAGUAGGGAAUCUUCCGCAAUGGGCGAAAGCCUGACGGAGCAACGCCGCGUGAGUGAUGAAGGUCUUCGGAUCGUAAAACUCUGUUAUUAGGGAAGAACAAAUGUGUCAGUAACUAUGCACGUCUUGACGGUACCUAAUCAGAAAGCCGCGGCUAACUACGUG